AGUCGGACGGGAUUGAGGAGCUUGCUUCUCAUGAGAGUGGCGCACGGGUGCGUAACACGUAUGUAACCUACCUUGUUCAGGGGGAUAGCCUCUCGAAAGAGAGAUUAACACCGCAUAAAAUCAAUUUAUGGCAUCAUAGAAUGAUCAAAUAUUUAUAGGAACAAGAUGGGCAUGCGGAACAUUAGCUAGUUGGUAAGGUAACGGCUUACCAAGGCUACGAUGUUUAGGGAAUCUGAGAGGAUGACCCCCCACACUGGUACUGAGACACGGACCAGACUCCUACGGGAGGCAGCAGUAAGGAAUAUUGGUCAAUGGACGCAAGUCUGAACCAGCCAUGCCGCGUGCAGGAAGACGGCCCUACGGGUUGUAAACUGCUUUUGUACCGGAAUAAACCUUUUCACGUGUGAGAAGCUGAAUGUACGGUAAGAAUAAGGAUCGGCUAACUCCGUGCCAGCAGCCGCGGUAAUACGGAGGAUCCAAGCGUUAUCCGGAUUUAUUGGGUUUAAAGGGUGCGUAGGUGGCCUAUUAAGUCAGGGGUGAAAGACGGUAGCUUAACUAUCGCAGUGCCUUUGAUACUGAUGGGCUUGAAUACACUUGAGGUAGGCGGAAUGUGACAAGUAGCGGUGAAAUGCAUAGAUAUGUCACAGAACACCAAUUGCGAAGGCAGCUUACUAAAGUGUUAUUGACACUGAGGCACGAAAGCGUGGGGAUCAAACAGGAUUAGAUACCCUGGUAGUCCACGCCCUAAACGAUGAAUACUCGAUGUUGGCGAUAUACGGUCAGCGUCUAAGCGAAAGCGUUAAGUAUUCCACCUGGGGAGUACGCCCGCAAGGGUGAAACUCAAAGGAA
rnacentral:rRNA from 1 species